CUAGGCACCAGACGAGCAGAAGCACAAACGUAGGAGGUAUCCAACAACGGCAACCGCAACGCCAUUCCACUUAAACCUGGAGACCAGAGAAAGGAUGCGGAAAAUUUACCUUGAAAUUUGUCACAUGCAAACUGGAGGAAGGGGCAAUAAGCAGAGAAUUCCCCUCAAGAUGUGAACUGCAUUGAUGCCCUCGGUAUGUGUGUUGCUACUGCUGAAUGAUGCUCCCUUGUCGUUGUUGCUAUAGUACGAUUUAGUACAGCUUGUCUAAAUGGGUUAGAAGAGGGGUUAUGAAAUGUUUUGUUGGAGUUUAAAUAUUCUUUCACGUAUUAAACUGAUAAGUUGUGCACUUUUGCUGCUGUUAGAUAAACUGACUACUCUGUACUGUUGGAUAGCCAUGGUAUGUGUUAGUUUUAUUUUACCACAAAAGUUUCUUGGGAGUUGGGAUAUCAGGUGUAUUCAUUACUUUUCCUAUGAAUAUAUUCUAUUUUGGUGCACUGUAUAUCUAUCUAAUCUAUCUAUCCAAGUUUUCAAAGAAAUUGAUGGCGGCGGCUCGGCCGUGUCGUGGUGAAUGGCGAAGCUUCGAAACUGAACAUGAGAAAGGUGUUGACGCGCGGCUGGGAGACGUACAUACUUGAGGAAAUAUGAUUCAUAAGGUUUCAUAUUAACGAAAACUGAUAAUCUGAACAUUUUGUUUAUUCCUGGAUGACUUUAUUCUCCAAUAUGAAUAUGUAAGAAAAGAUAUGACAUACAUUUGUGUAAAUUGAUAAUGUAGGGUCAUCUCGAAACUUUAUUA